rnacentral:rRNA from 1 species
GACGAACGCUGGCGGCGUGCUUAACACAUGCAAGUCGAACGGAAAGGCCCUGCUUUUGUGGGGUGCUCGAGUGGCGAACGGGUGAGUAACACGUGAGUAACCUGCCCUUGACUUUGGGAUAACUUCAGGAAACUGGGGCUAAUACCGGAUAGGAGCUCCUGCUGCAUGGUGGGGGUUGGAAAGUUUCGGCGGUUGGGGAUGGACUCGCGGCUUAUCAGCUUGUUGGUGGGGUAGUGGCUUACCAAGGCUUUGACGGGUAGCCGGCCUGAGAGGGUGACCGGCCACAUUGGGACUGAGAUACGGCCAAGACUCCUACGGGAGGCAGCAGUGGGGAAUAUUGCACAAUGGGCGGAAGCCUGAUGCAGCAACGCCGCGUGCGGGAUGACGGCCUUCGGGUUGUAAACCGCUUUCGCCUGAGACGAAGCGUGAGUGACGGUAAUGGGUAAAGAAGCACCGGCUAACUACGUG